ensembl:snRNA U6 U6 spliceosomal RNA
AUGCUCACCUCAGCAGCAUGUACUAGAAUUGGAAUGAUACAGAGAGGAUGAGCAUGGCCCUUGCACAAGGAUGACACGCGAAUUUGUGAAGCCUUCCAUAUCUUA